rnacentral:rRNA from 1 species
CCUACGGGGGGCUGCAGUGGGGAAUUUUGGACAAUGGGGGCAACCCUGAUCCAGCCAUUCCGCGUGAGUGAAGAAGGCCUUCGGGUUGUAAAGCUCUUUCGCAAGGGAAGAAAACUUACUCAAUAACACUGGGUGAGGCUGACGGUACCUUGAUAAGAAGCACCGGCUAACUACGUGCCAGCAGCCGCGGUAAUACGUAGGGUGCGUACGUUAAUCGGAAUGACUGGAGGUAAUUUUGGAACAGGGGGGUGAAAUCCCCGGGCUCAACCUGGGAACUGCGUUUGAAACUACAAGGCUAGAGUAUGGCAGAGGGAGGUAGAAUUCCACGUGUAGCAGUGAAAUGCGUAGAGAUGUGGAGGAAUACCAAUGGCGAAGGCAGCCCCCUGGGUCAAUACUGACGCUCAUGCACGAAAGCGUGGGGAGCAAACAGGAUUAGAUACCCCAGUAGUC